rnacentral:rRNA from 1 species
UACGAAGGGGGGCUAGCGUUGCUCGGAAUUACUGGGCGUAAAGGGCGCGUAGGCGGAUAUCUAAGUUGGGGGUGAAAUCCCGGGGCUCAACCUCGGAAUUGCCUUCAAAACUGGGAUAUCUUGAGUUCGGGAGAGGUGAGUGGAACUCCGAGUGUAGCGGUGGAAUGCGUAGAGAUCCGGAAGAACACCGGUGGCGAAGGCGGUUAGCUGGGCAGUUGCUGAC